rnacentral:rRNA from 1 species
UUCAGUUGAGUUAAUGUACUUAAUGAAGGGAUAAUUAAGUUUUUUAAGUAUUUUGGUUAAGAGACAAUUUUGAUUUUAAAAAAGCAUUUAAUAGAAAUCUUGGUAAAUUUAAAGUGGGCGUUUUUUCUGAAAAUUAUGUGUAAGUUAUACUUGUAAAGCAUAAAUUUCCUUAAAAUUUGAGAAAAGAGAAAACUCUGAAAAAAUUUGAAAAGUGAAGUGAAUCAUCUCAGUAACUUAUUAAAAAAUCAACCGAGUAAAAGAAAGUAAUGGCGAAUGAAAUCUUUUAACUUUAGUAUAAAACUCUAAAGUAACUUAAAAGUAGUGCGUUUAUAAUGCAUGAAAAUAGGAGUACCACCUUCUAAAGUUUUAUAAAUUUAACCGAUAGUGAACGAGUACUGUGAAGGAAAGAAUAAUUUUGAAAAAAAAUUUAUGAAUUUGAAUGUUACUAUAAUUUGAAGAUUACACAACAAAUUUCUUUUUGCAUAACGAGUCAGCAAGUUAAUUACUGAAGCAAUUUUAAAAAUAAAAGUUUUAGUACUUAAACCUGAAACCAAGUGAUCUAAUUGUAAACAUGCUGAUAAUUAUGUAAAACUUUUUUGAAGGCUGAACCCAUAAAUGUGGCAAAAUUUUGGGAAGAUUUAUAAUUAGGAGUGAAAGGCUAAUCAAACUUGGUUAUAGCCGGUUUUUCACGAAAUGUAUUUUAGUACUACGUCAAAAUUAAAUAAAGUUAUGUAAAGUACAAAGUAAACGAUGGGAAGUAAAAUUUUAUUGACUUUACCUUAUCUCAGAAUUAACUUUUAUAGUAAUUGACAGUCAGUUUUUAAGCGAUAAGGUUUAAAAACUAAAGGGAAACAACCCAGAUCAUUUAUUAAGGUUUUAAAAUUAAUUUUUAUAAAAAUUUUUUUAAAAAGCAAAUAGAUUUAAUAGGCUUAGAAGCAGCCAUUUAUUAGAAAUUGCGUUAUAGCUUACUAUCUAUAUUUUAAAAAAUAAAAAUUUAAUGAACUUAAAAAAUUAUACCGAAAUUAUGAAUUUUAAACAAAAAUGGUAGUGAAACAUUUUAUUAGAUUAUUUAUUGCAAAAUUAAAUAAAUAAAAGCGAAAAUGCUGACAUGAGUAACGAAAACUUUGUAUUAAAUCGAAGUCGUGUACUGUUUUUAAGGUUUUUAAUGUAAAUUCGAUUACAUUAAGUUAGUCGGUCUUUAAAAGGAAAGUGAAUACUAUACUUGAUAAGAUACUAAAUACUAUUUAUAUGUAUUGUAACAAAUAUGAAAAAAGUUUUUUUAACUUUCGAGAAAAAAUUAUAAUCGUAAACCGUACUUAAACCGACACUGGUAAAAACUUAAUAUAUAACACGGAUGGGUAAAUUAUAAUAAAGGAACUAGGCAAAUUGUUCUGUACGUUAGCAAAAAAGAAAACCGUGAUGGGUGUAAAGUACAAAAGUAACGACUGUUUAACAAAAACACAGGACUCUGCAAAUUUUUUAAGAUGUAUAGAGUCUGAAGCCUGCCCAGUGCUUAAAAGCAAAGCAUUCUAAAAGUUUCUUUUAGAAUAUAAGUUUAAGUAAACGGCGGUUCUAACUAUAAGAAUCCUUAGGUAGCGAAAUUCCUUGGCGGGUAAAUUCCGUCCUGCAUGAAUGGUUUAACGAUUGCUUUACUGUCUCUAUUAUAACUUCAGUGAAAUUACACUAUCCAUGAAAAUGUGGAUUACUUACAGUAAGACGGAAAGACCCUAGAUCCUUUACUUUUAUUUUACACUGUACCGAAAUGUCGCUUAAAAGAGAACAAAAUGGGAGUAAAAACAGCGUUGAAAUACCAUUUACUGUGGCAUUUUGUACUUAAUAAUUAGUCUAAAAUUAUGAUUCUGUAAAAAAGAAAGUUUACUUGGGAUGAGUACCUCCUAAAAUGUAACGGAGGUGUGCGAAGGUAAAGUUAUACGUGUAAUAGCUAAUCUUUACUUAACAACAAGAUUUAUUAAUCAAGUUGAGAUUCACGUCUGUUAUAGUGAUCCAAUAUUAUGAGUGGAACGUAAUAUUGCGCAACAGCUAAAAGGAACUCUAGGGAUAACAGAUUCAUCGUGACUGAAAGUUCAUAUUAAUGUCACGGUUUGAUACCUCGAUGUCGACUCAUCUUAUCCUGAAAUUGUAGAUUAUUUCAAGGGUCUAGUUGUUCGCUAGUUAAAAAGGUACGUGAGUUGGGUUCAGAACGUCGUGAGACAGUUCGGUCCCUAUCUACUGUAAGAUUUGAAAAAAUUAGGAAAUUACUUUUAGUACGAGAGGACCAAAGUAAAGUAACCACUGAUUUAUUGAUUACUAAAAUUAAAGUAUUGUCAAAAAGUUACGUUAUACUUGUUAAACGCUGAAUGCAUAAAAGUGUAAAACUUGUUCUAUAUUUUUUCAAAAUUUUCUAAAAGAAAAUUAAAGAUUGAUCGGUUUAAAAUAUUCUUAGUAAUUAGUCUGUUUUUAAAUACGAAAUAACACUUAUUUUAUUAA